UAUAGUGGUCACCGCAAAACACCUUUUUUGAGUAGGUGAAAACUCUACUUUCUAAAAGAUUUUGUCUCUAACUUGUCCUAACUUGAUUAUCAAUCGAGUUGUAUCAAGGGUCGCAACGGGUAUGGCUUGAGUUACUGCGCUUUAGUGUGCUUAAACUUCUAAAAGGCGCGCGUUUGCUUAAAUUUAAUUAUGUUAACUUGACUUUUAAACCACUGUGCGAAGAGUUAUGCACAGAAUGACAAGCCAUUCAUUCGGUAAAUUUUUAGUUUCAGCAUCGAAUCUCCUUACGAAUAUCUAUGAGCAAAUACCUACUGAACAUUAUUGUAGCUCUGUUUUAUUCUGUGUUCUCUACUCAGAUAUAACAAAUCCAGAGGAAAUUAUUUUCAUCAAAAACAACAACAAUCGGUGGAGAACAAUACGAGCAAGAGUAGAAAACGCACAAGAAACUACUUUCAGUACGCUGAACCCUAAUAAUAAAAAAGUCACUUGAGCAAACAUUUGUAAGCUAUGUGCCUCCCUUGUAACGUAACGCUGCAUAACGAAUAUAAGAAGUUGAAAUAACAAUAAGGAAAUCGAAGAGCAUACAAGCAACGAAUGAGGCAAGUUAGUGUGUAGAAUGGUGUUUUCUGCGUGUAAAUAUCUGACAGUGAAAUCUAUAGAGCGCUCGAUGUACCACUACCUUUAACUCCAGCCGAAGAAGUUGGUAGCCAAACUCGGCGCCAAUUACUGAUAAAAAUAUGCAAACCUCAAUAUGGAUAUGUAUGUAUGUGAGUAAAUGAGAAAAUUACGAUAUUUACGUUUUCCGUAUUGAAUGGGUAAACCUGGAACAUAGAAAUGGAAAAUUUUCAGUAAUUUCCCCAGUUUCAUUCGAAACGGUAAUGAGGCAAUAGUAACGAGGCUAUUAAACAUUUUUUUAUGCCGAGUGAUGACUUUGUAUUUGUUAAUAAUGGUGCCACUAAUAUGGCAAUAAGACGAACAUAAAAAGGUGGCGUUACAGCUUAAAAAAAACAAAAGCAGUUGUCCCUCAGCAGACUAUAACCGCUGUGUAAUAUAAAAGUUUCUUAGGUGGAUCCGAACUUAAUUAUUAUAAAUAAGGCGUAUGUUACUUCAACUUCUUUACCACCAGCUGUAAUUUUAAUUUUCAUUUUGAUUUUAUUGUUAAUCCUUUUAUCUAUUUAAUUAUGUAAACUAUUCUUAAGGUCAAUCAUCGUAAA